rnacentral:tRNA from 1 species
GGGUGAGUAGCUGAGUUGGUUCAAGCGCCGGGUUGAAGCCCCGGAGACAUAGGUUCGAUUCCUAUCUUACCCACCA